CUGCCCGCGGAGCCCGAAGGCGGAACAGAUCGCUGUAGUGCCUUGGAAGUGGAGAAAAAGUUACUCAAGACAGCUUUCCAGCCCGUGCCCAGGCGGCCCCAGAACCAUCUGGACGCCGCCCUGGUCUUAUCGGCUCUCUCCUCAUCCUAGUUCUUUAAAAAACAAAACAAAACAAAACAAAAACUUUUUUUAAUCGUUGUAAUAAUUGUAAAAAAAAAUCGCUCUGUAUAGUUACAACUUGUAAGCAUGUCAGUGUAUAAAUACCUAAAAGCAAAACUAAAAAAAAGAAAGAAAAAAGAAAUAAAACCAGUCCUCCUCAGCCCUCCCCAAGUCGCUUCUGUGGCACCCCGCAUUCGCUGUGAGGUUUGUUUGUUCGGUUGAUUUUGGGGGGUGGAGUUUCAGUGAGAAUAAACGUGUCUGCCUUUGUGUGUGUGUGUAUAUAUACAGAGAAAUGUACAUAUGUGUGAACCAAAUUGUACGAGAAAGUAUCUAUUUUUGGCUAAAUAAAUGAGCUGCUGCCACUUUGACUAUAA